UGUGAUACAUCUUCACCGGAGUUGAUCCCUUUGGGGGUCGCGUCUGUAAUGUGUGGCUCUAUGCUUCCAACCGUCUCUUGAGACAAUCUCUGACAAUUUGACCUCAAAUCGGGUGGGACUACCCGCUGAACUUAAGCAUAUCAAUAAGCGGAGGAAAAGAAACUAACAAGGAUUCCCCUAGUAACGGCGAGUGAAGAGGGAAAAGCUCAAAUUUUGAAUCUGGUGUCUUUGACUCCCGAGUUGUAAUCUAGAGAAGUGUUUUCCGUCUCGGACCGUGCACAAGUUCCCUGGAACGGGGCGUCAUAGAGGGUGAGAAUCCCGUAUAUGGCACGAACUGCCGAUGCUUUUGUGAUACACUCUCAACGAGUCGAGUUGUUUGGGAAUGCAGCUCAAAAUGGGUGGUAAAUUCCAUCUAAAGCUAAAUAUUGGCGAGAGACCGAUAGCGAACAAGUACCGUGAGGGAAAGAUGAAAAGCACUUUGGAAAGAGAGUGAAACAGUACGUGAAAUUGUUGAAAGGGAAGCGUUUGAAGUCAGUCGUAUCUGGCGGGAUUCAGUCGAGCUUUUGCCCGGUGUACUUCUCGUCCGAUGGGUCAGCAUCAAUUUCGACCGGGGGAAAAAGAUGUGGGGAAUGUGGCUGUCUUCGGGCAGUGUUAUAGCCCCGUGUUGUAUGCCUCGGUCGGGAUUGAGGAACGCAGCGCGCCUAUAGGCCAGGGG
rnacentral:rRNA from 1 species